GUUAACUGCUGUAUAGGCAGCUUAGAAA
rfam:Megasphaera sp. DJF_B143 contig_8, whole genome shotgun sequence.